rfam:Methylobacterium sp. Leaf99 contig_2, whole genome shotgun sequence.
GGGCGGGCCACUCCUCCCCAACGAGGAGCUUUCAUCUGGAAGGAUGACCACC